GCCGCUAUGGUGAAAUCG
rnacentral:tRNA from 1 species